CUCCGAUUGCGGCGUGGUUGGUGUCUACGGCUUCGUCUCGACGAGAGGAACACGAUGGUGGUCUUGCAUGCACGAGAUGAUCAAUGGUUAGGAAGUUAUGGGCGAUUUACUAAAACGGAAACGAAACUGAAACUUAAGGCAUGCGGUUUCCAGCGGUUACCUAGGGUGUUGUUGAUCGGGGGUGACGAGCUGAACGUGAUCACGGCACACGGUUGCUCCGGCGACGAGCUCCGGCGACUUUCUGACUACAAAAUAAUCACACUUCCUCUUAGCUCACUCUCUCUCUAGCUCUUUCUUUAUGAUGAAGUUUAUGAGAAAACAAGGUGGAAAGGUGGGUAUUUGUAACAAAAUACCUUGGGCUUCUGGAAAUGGUUUUGGGCUUCGCUGAAUGUCAGAUGGGCCUGGGUUUGGGUCAUGACAACUCUCCCCCACUAAUAAGGAAUUCGACCCCGAAUUCGAGUCACCAAACUCUCCGAUGACACCCCGAAACAGCUCUGGAUAAUCAAUCCUCAUUUGGGGCUCGGACUCCCAGGUCUCCUCCUGAAUCCCGUCUCUCUCCCAACGAACCUUGACCAACAUUGUCAUCAUACCAUGAUCUGUUUUCACUUGGCGAUCCAAUAUCUCUACUGGCUGGCACAACCCACGUAAACCUUUGCCAAGGUCUCUAGGUGGCUGCUGCAAAAUGAGCUCUGGCUCUCUCACUACUUUCCUCAAAACGGAAACAUGGAACACAUCAUGGAAAUCUGAUAAUUCUCCUGAUAAAUCCAAUCGGUAAGCAACUGCUCCAAUCCGCUCCAGAAUAGGAUAUGGUCCCAUAUAUCUCGGUUUAAGCUUCUUUAGCUUCCGAGUCUUAGAUCCUCCCUGAAAUGUCCUCAUUUUCAGGUAUACCAGGUCGCCAACCUGGAACUCCAAAUCCUUACGCCGCUUAUCUGCAUAACUCUUCUGACGGUCAUGGGCUUCCUUAAGCCGCAUCUUGAGCAUCUCAACCUGCUCGACUGUCUCUUGAACCAUGGCUGGUUCUAUCUCACGUCGCUCUCCCACUUCCGUCCAACAAAGUGGUGUGCGACAAGGCCUACCAUAUAGAGCCUCAUAUGGUGCCAUCCCAAUGCUCGAAUGAUAGCUGUUGUUGUAGGCAAACUCGGCUAGAGGUAGAUACUUCACCCAACUACCUUCCCAAUCUAAAACACAAGCUCUGAGCAUAUCCUCCAAAGUCUGAAUUGUCCUCUCUGACUGACCAUCUGUCUGCGGGUGAUACGCCGUACUCAUAUGAACCUUUGUUCCAAGUGCCUUCUGGAAGGCCCUCCAAAACUCAGACGUGAACUUUGUAUCCCGAUCCGAUACAAUGCUGACAGGAACUCCAUGCAAUCUCACAAUCUCGCUGAUGUAAGUCUGUGCUAGCUGAUCAGCUCUGUCUGUCUUCUUAACCGCUAGAAAAUGGGCUGACUUCGUAAGUCUAUCCACGAUUACCCAUAUGGCAUUCUUUCCUCCUGAUGUAGUCGGCAAACCCGUCACAAAAUCCAUAGUUACCAUGUCCCAUUUCCACUCCGGUAAUGGAAGGUUUUGCAAUAACCCGCUAGGAACCUGAUGCUCGGCCUUAACCAUCUGACACGUCUGACAUUGCGAUACAAAUGAAGCAACAUCUCUCUUCAUACCAGGCCAAUGGUAAUAUCGCUUCAGAUCCCUAUACAUCUUGGUAUUUCCUGGAUGAAUAGAGAAACUCGAGUGGUGUGCUUGCCGUAAGAUCUCCUUUCUUAACAGCUCAUCAUUGGGCACACAAACCCGGUUUCGGUACAUGAACAUCCCGCUGGAGGCUGUAUGAUAACCAAUACUCUCCAUCUCGAUCUGCUUACGCAAAGCCUCAUCACCAUCCUGAGCUUUGCGUAUCCUCCAUAGUAAGUCUGCCCGCUCUACAGCCUCAGCGCCAACUGACUCUCCCUCUACAGUAACUGCACAUAAUCGGAGACUAGCAAGUGUCCCAGUAAGCUCUUGGACCUCUUUGGUUCCCGAUACAUCGCUUCUACGCCUACUCAAGGCAUCCGCCACAUUAUUAGCCUUUCCCGGAUGAUAUGCGAUCUCCAAGUUGUAGUCUGCUAACAACUCCAUCCAUCUACGCUGCCUCAAAUUCAAGUCCGCCUGCGUAAAUAGUAAGCUCUUGGACCUCUUUGGUUCCCGAUACAUCGCUUCUACGCCUACUCAAGGCAUCCGGCGGAUCUCCAAGUUGUAGUCUGCUAACAACUCAUCCAUCUACGCUGCUCAAAUUCAAGUCCGCCUGCGUAAAUACGUAUUUCAGACUCUGGUGGUCCGUGAAAAUCUUCACUUUCUCUCCAUACAAGUAUGACCUCCAGAUCUUUAAUGCAAAUACAACUGCUGCCAACUCCAAAUCAUGCGUAGGAUAAUUGACUUCGUGAGGCCUCAAUUGUCGUGAUGCAUAGGCAAUGACCUGACCCUCCUGCAUCAGUACACAUCCCAAUCCGGUGCCUGAAGCAUCAGUGUAAACAUCAUAUGGUAUCCCUGGCCUCGGGAGUACCAAAACUGGCGCAUGGGUCAGCUGCCGCUUCAACUCAGUGAAACUUCCCGAACAUUCCUCUGUCCAAUCAAACUUGGCAUCUUUUCCUGUUAGCCGUGUCAUUGGCUUUGCAAUGCUAGCAAAGCUGUUGACAUACUUUCUGUAGUAUCCUGCCAAACCGAGAAAACUGCGGAUCUCCGUUGCACUCUUAGGUGUCGGCCACUCUGAAAUGGCGGUAAUCUUCUCCUGAUCUACGGCAACUCCUGCUUCUGAAACCACGUGACCCAAAAAUCCAAUCUUCCUCUGCCAAAAGCUACACUUACUUAGCUUGGCAAACAACUGAUGUUCCCGAAGCUUACCCAACACAAUCCGCAAAUGCUCAGCAUGCUCUUCUUUACUCCGAGAAUAAACCAAAAUGUCGUCGAUGAAAACAAUCACAAACUUAUCCAAUUGCUCUCGAAACACAUCAUUCAUGAGUUUCAUGAAUGCUGCCGGUGCAUUCGUCAACCCAAAUGGCAUUACCACAAACUCAUAAUGUCCAUAACGGGUACGGAAUGCCGUCUUCCGCACAUCUCCCUCAGCUAUCGCAAUCUGGUGGUAUCCCGAUGCCAAGUCAAUCUUAGAGAACCAUGAAGCUCCCUGCAACUGGUCCAACAACUCGUCGAUACGCGGGAGCGGGUACUUAUUCUUGAUGGUCACUUUGUUCAAACCUCUGUAAUCGAUACAAAGUCUGAAACUCCCAUCCUUCUUCUUCACAAACAACACUGGUGCUCCCCACGGUGAUGUACUCGGCCUGAUAAACCCCUUAUCAGAUAGUUCCUCCAACUGCUUCUUUAACUCUGCCAUCUCAGUUGGUGCGAGACGGUAUGGAGCUCGUGAAACUGGUGCUGCUCCUGGCUCUACUUCUAUCGUAAGUACGUCCGCUCUAGCUGGUGGUGGCCCUUUUAAAGCCUCAAAGACAUCCUCGUACUCGGCGACCACUGGUAUAUCAUGCAGCUCCUGCUGACCGUCCUCCUUAACCAUCGAAAUGGUUGCCAAAAAUCCCUCUGCUCCACUCUCCAAUAAUUCUUCUGCACGCAACAUGGAGACGAUAGGAAUUUCCCGGUGUGUCUGAAUGCCCUCGCAAAUGAUCUUUCCUUCUUCUCUAGGGAUGUUAACUCUUGCCUUUGGACAAUCCAAGACUACUCGAUGUCGCGACAACCAAUCCAUCCCAAGUAUAACAUCGUAGGAGCUCAUCUCCAUCUCUGUCAAAUGUCCGAGCAACUCGACUCCUCCAAGUAGAACUGGUACAUCGUGAUGAAUGCCAACUGCUCCCAACUUCUCUGUACCGGCAGUCUGAAUCUGCUUAGCCUUCGGUUCAAAGACUCCCCGAAAAGACCAAGACUGGACUAAGCGCGGACUCACAAAACUAUGAGAAGCUCCCGUGUCGAAUAAGGUAUAAGCUGACUCUCCUCCAACGGAAACCGAUCCUACACGAGAUUUUUACUAACUACACAUGACAACCACGAACCAAAAUAUUCAAACACAAACACGUAUGGAAAAGUCUCAUACCUGCUAUCGGCUCAGCUCCCUGAGGAUCUCCAACCGCAAACACACGUGGAGCGAUGGCUAGACGCUUCGGUGGUGGUGGAAGUGCCGCAUUGCCCCUCCUCGGACAAUCUCUGAUGAAGUGACCUGGCUGACCACAGCCAAAACAGACCUGUGCCGCUGCUGGUGCUGCAAUCUGUCUGACUGGUGGCGUAUCCAAUGGCUUAACCCGACAAAACUUCGCAAUGUGUCCAAUCUUACCGCAAAUAAGACACCUCAUACACUGCCCACUGUGACUGCGAUGGCAACGAGGACAUAUCGGUAAUCCCGACGGGUCCCCUGCUCUCCUCUGAGACUCUGGAGCUUUUCCAGACUUAACCUGAACUGCUUUGGUAAGUUUCUGCUCCUCCGCCAAGCCUGCCUCCUGCUCGGCAGCUUUCUCCACCAAAUCUCCCAAUCGGUGGUAUGUGACUACGCGACACCUGUUGCGAAUCUCCACUCGCAUCCCACUCAAAAACUUCCUGAUCAAGUCUUCCUCUGAAAUGCCCACUCCAGCAAAUCUGCGAAGUUGGUUGAACACAACCUCAUACUCUCUGAUAGACAUCUCUCCCUGGCUUACAUGCUCGAACUCGCAUUUCUUCCUAUCCAUAGCUUCCUUCGGAAAGUAUUUCCUAUCAAACUCUCGAAUGAAGUCAGCGAAGGUAAGCCUCUCUGGCCCAAAAUGACUCAAUCGUAUUCCUUCCCACCAUAUAAGAGCAUCUCCACGAAGAUACUGCAUAGUCAAUCUGAGCGACAACUCUGGUGGACACUCAAUAAUCUCCAGCUUCCGCUGCAAGGCUAACUUCCAAUCAUGUGCAGCUACAGCAUCCACUGUCCCGCUAAAAUGCUCCAUAUCCAUGUUCCUCAUCUGACAUGUCAGCCUGUAGAACCUCUCGUCAUAAACCGGGUAAACAUGAGGUCGCGGUGGUGGUGGCGGUAGAUCCUGAACACCAUGAGCAAACUGCUGAGCUGGACCCUGCUGCAGUGGAACCUGAGGAAGGGGAACCUGCUGAACGGGAUCCUGAUGAUCAUGCUGAGCGGGAAUCUGCUGAUCCUGCUGAACCUGAACCGGUGGAACUUGCUGAACCCGAAUCUGUGGACCCUGCUGCACCUGAACCUGAGGACCCUGCUGAACGGCAGCCAUCUGACGAGCAACCUCCUGAGCAGCUACUCGGGCAGCCUCCUGAGUGGCCUGCCUGGCUGUCUCCUGGGCAAUCUGCUGAAGUGCCUCCUGAGCGGCCUGCCUAGCGGCAUCCUGAACCAUCUGUCUCAAUGUAUCCUGAUCAACUGGUGGAGCCGCGGGUGGCGGAACUGCGGGCUGCUCAUGCUCAUCUACAUCGUCUCUAACAACUCUGGCAGUCUGGGCACGUGUGGUUCUUCUCCUUGGCGGCAUCUGAAAGGAAAGCGAAAUGUUAACUUACGCUCAACUUUUGAUACCAACAUUUAAGGAGAAGUGAUAUCGAAUGGAAAGGUGCUAUUUAUUUUCGUUUACAAAAUUCCCAAAUCCCCAAAAAUAUUUGAAAUCGUCUAAAACCGUCAAAACCGAUUAAAACCGAAUAAAACAAGGUCUCCAAAAAUCGCCAUCCCGGGUCGGAGCCGGGACGGAACCCCGCUCUGAUACCAAAAAUUGUCACACCCGGUUUUCUCAAAAAUAUAUAAAUGCGAAAAAUAACAAAAUAAUAAAUACUGAAUAAUAAUAAUCUUCAUAUCAUAAUAUAAAAGUCGAUAUGAUACCAUAAGGCCUAAAAGCCCAACAUCGAUAACAUCCGAAAUAUAAAAUACGACAUAAACCGAAAGUCUGAAAUAGGAAAUAACACAAACGAUAAAGUCCAAAGGCCUAAAGGCCCGAUAAAGAUAAAAAAAAACGAUAAAAGCGAUAGAAGCCCAAAAGCCCAAUAGCACCGGUCCGAUAAUCACUCCUGCUCGUCGGUCUCACCUGAAAGGGGGAAAAGUGAGGGGUGAGCGACAGGUGAGUCGCCCAAUGAGGUAUGGGGGAUGCUACCCCGAAGUCCAUGGACCCGGACAUAACACUCCGAAUAAAUAUAAUUUAAUUCUAAUACAUGUCAAACACGGCACCUAAAGUACCCAAGCAACAAGCAAUGAUCCUAGCGAGGCGCGCACUCGCCGCCCACUAACAGGCCAAAAACAUAACACAACUCGAGAUAGUGCUCGGGCACCGCCCGUAGACGAUUUAUCGACACUUCCAGGCUACAGCUCAACCGGUCGACUAUAGUUGGCCAUAACCUCAUACAAUCCGGCAUACAGAAGUCCGUCUCUGUAUCCGUCUCCACUCAAAAACAAUCCUAGCUAAGCAUUUACAUUAAGUGAAGCAAUCAAUGUUGAAUCCUCUAACAACCUAGUUCCGGUUUAAGCAAAGAACCUAAUAACUAAACAAGCAAUGACAGACUCGAUUUCAAGCAGACGGAACAUAUUAGAAAUAAGUUAUACUUAUUCGAAGUCCUAAACCGUGUAAGAGGAGUUCGGGAAUAGCCCCUCACCUUAGCAAUAGGGAAAUGUGGUAUCUAUGAACUCCAGCUGCUCAAAUAGACUCUCAAUCUGAAAUCAGGGCGAAAUUCUAAGUCAGAACGGCUUUCGAAUGGUUUAAAACGGGUUUAGUCAAGGUUUACGGAAAAGUCAACACGCUGGUCAAAGGUCAAUCCGGUCAACUCUGACCCAAGCCGGUCAACCCUUGACCAGAUUGGAAUUGAUUUAAACCAACCGGUUUAACUCAACCGAAAUCGAUUCCAAUUGGACCAUCCGGUUUACCUUAACCAUCAAUUGAUUAAUUAAUUAAUUAAUCUAUCUAACCGGUUUAUCCUAACCGAAAUCCAAUUGAUUUUAACCGGCGGUUUAACCUAACCAACCCUAAAUCAAAUUAAACCAGUCAAACCACCGGUUGACCGAGUGACCGAGUUGACUCACCGGGUCGACUCGGCCGAGUUGGUGAGUCGCCGGCGAAUCACCGGCACUAGUCCCGGCGGCGACGGCGGAGGGUGGCGGCGGCUUACCGGAAAAUCAGCGGCGGCGACGCUGCGGCAGCUUCUCGGCGGCGGACGGACGGCGGCCGGUCACGGCGGCUCCGGCGAACGGCGGUCGGAGACGGCGGCGAGUGGCCGGAAUGCGCGGUGGCUCCGGCGGACGACGACGGCGCGUGCGUUUCACGCCCGCUCAGAGGCGAAACUUCGAGAGGCUCUAGCGGCUUCGUCCGGGCUCCGAUUGCGGCGUGGUUGGUGUCUACGGCUUCGUCUCGACGAGAGGAACACGAUGGUGGUCUUGCAUGCACGAGAUGAUCAAUGGUUAGGAAGUUAUGGGCGAUUUACUAAACGGAAACGAAACUGAAACUUAAGGCAUGCGGUUUCCAGCGGUUACCUAGGGUGUUGAUCGGGGGUGACGAGCUGAACGUGAUCACGGCACACGGUUGCUCCGGCGACGAGCUCCGGCGACUUUCUGACUACAAAAUAAUCACACUUCCUCUUAGCUCACUCUCUCUCUAGCUCUUUCUUUAUGAUGAAGUUUAUGAGAAAACAAGGUGGAAAGGUGGGUAUUUGUAACAAAAUAC
rnacentral:lncRNA from 1 species